CUCAUAAACAAAAUUAAUGAUGUGUCAGAAUCCAGACUUAAUACUGUGGAUGGUUUUUGUGGAAGUGGACCACACUACAAUCGAGAUGGCUUUUCUGUUUAACCCUUAACAGAAGCAUAAAGAGGAUACUGCUUUCAUGAAGGAUGCACUUAUGUUUCCUGCAUGAACACAAGCCACCGGCCCAAAUCAUUAUCUGCAAUGUGUAAGAUUUGACAUGGUGUAGCUCAUAAGAAUAUAGUAAUUAUUAAACUUUGUGGUUUGGAGGGAUUGUUCUUUUAUGCUGGUUUACGGAGGGUGAUUUUAUCCCAAUAUCAUAAGGCAAAGAUAAUGCAAAUGUGAAAUGGAUUGUCA